GUAGGUGGCAAGCGUUGUCCGGAAUUAUUGGGCGUAAAGCGCGCGCAGGUGGUUCUUUAAGUCUGAUGUGAAAGCCCCCGGGCUCAACCGGGGAGGGUCAUUGGAAACUGGGGAACUUGAGUGCAGGAGAGGAAAGUAGAAUUCCACGUGUAGCGGUGAAAUGCGUAGAUAUGUGGAGGAACACCAGUGGCGAAGGCGACUUUCUGGCCUGUAACUGACACUGAGGCGCGAAAGCGUGGGGAGCAAACAGGAUUAGAUACCCUGGUAGUCCACGCCGUAAACGAUGAGUGCUAAGUGUUGGGGGGUUUCCGCCCCUCAGUGCUGCAGCUAACGCAUUAAGCACUCCGCCUGGGGAGUACGGUCGCAAAGACUG
rnacentral:rRNA from 1 species